rnacentral:rRNA from 1 species
GUCCACGCCCUAAACGAUGAUCACUGGGUGUUCGGGAAGCGAUUCCUUGGUACCGUAGCUAACGCGUGAAGUGAUCCGCCUUGGGAGUACGGCCGCAAGGUUAAAACUCAAAGGAAUUGACGGGGACCCGCACAAGCGGUGGAUGAUGUGGAUUAAUUCGAUGCAACGCGAACAACCUUACCUACCCUUGACAUGUCCGGAACCCUGCUGAGAGGUGGGGUGCCCGAAAGGGAAUCGGAACACAGGUGCUGCAUGGCUGUCGU